AUUGAACGCUGGCGGCAUGCCUUACACAUGCAAGUCGAACGGCAGCAUGAUGUGUAGCAAUACACGUUGAUGGCGAGUGGCGAACGGGUGAGUAAUAUAUCGGAACAUGUCCUGUAGCGGGGGAUAACCUAUCGAAAGAUGGACUAAUACCGCAUACGCUCUACGGAGGAAAGCGGGGUCGCAAGACCUCGCACUAUAGGAGUGGCCGAUANCGGAUUAGCUAGUUGGCGGGUAAAGCCACCAAGGCGACGAUCCGUAGCUGGUCUGAGAGGAUGAUCAGCCACACUGGAACUGAGACACGGUCCAGACUCCUACGGGAGGCAGCAGUGGGAAUUUUGGACAAUGGGCGCAAGCCUGAUCCAGCCAUGCCGCGUGAGUGAAG
rnacentral:rRNA from 1 species